AAAAUAAAAAAAAAAAAAUGUAUCAAAUAAUUGUAUUGUUAUUGUUCGUUUAAAAUACAACGGGUAGUUAAAUAAUGUAAAAUACGAUCGUGAGUUUGAUCACGGACCGGUCUCGGUUAUUAUUAUUUUACGAUAAUCUGCGGACGGACGUUUGCGGAGUCGGUUGCAUUAUAAAAUUAUACUAUCACGUCUAUACAUGUAACCCAUGUAUGUGUGCUUUUAUAUUUAUUAUUAGUUCGUCCGGUUCGAUUGGAAACCGAGAGAUUGAAAAAAAAAAAAAAAAAAACAAACUCGUUACCAUGGCAUCGAAACGUGCCGUUUACGUCAUA